GAUGAACGCUAGCGGCAGGCUUAAUACAUGCAAGUCGAGGGGCAUCAAGGUACACGAAAGUGUAUUGUUGGCGACCGGCGGACGGGUGAGUAAUAGGUAGGUAACCUACCUCAUACUGAGGCAUAGCUGGGAGAAAUUCCAGGUAAUUCCUCAUGAGGUUAUAUGACACAUGUGAUAUAAUCAAAGGUAUCGCAAGGUACUGGUAUGAGAUGGGCUUACUGACCAUUAGCUAGUUGGUGAGAUAAGAGCUCACCAAGGCGAAGAUGGUUAGGGGUUUUGAGAGAGAGAUCCCCCACAUUGGAACUGAGAUACGGUCCAGACUCCUACGGGAGGCAGCAGUAGGGAAUAUUGGGCAAUGGGCGGAAGCCUGACCCAGCCAUGCCGCGUGAAGGAAGACGGCCUUAUGGGUUGUAAAACUUCUUUACUAUGCGACUAACUAGAUUUACGAGAUAAUUCUAUAGAAUGUAGCAUAGCAAAAAGCACGG
rnacentral:rRNA from 1 species